GGGAUAGAGAUGGAGACAUGGGACAAAUGAAUGAAAGAUGUGCAAAAAAGUAACGUUGAUAAAGGAAAACAGGCCAAUGUUAGCUGUGGCCAAUCAGGUGAAAAUGAGUUACUGACAAUGAGUCUCAACACGAUGGCUUUGAAGCUCGUAAAGAGGGAGAAUGCCCUCCUUUUGUUCCUUCCUCCCUGCUCGAGGAGUCUUGUGUAGUGCAGCCAUUGCAAUAGGUCUUCAACUACUUGGCAAUUUACCCAGCACUUUCAUGGAGAACAAAAGCAGAUGACAAAACAAGGGACUGCCGAUGCUGGUUUAUACCAAAGAUAGACACAAAGUGCUGGAGUAACUCAGCGGGCCAGGCAGCGUCUCUGAAGAAAUCGGUUGAGUGACAUAUCGGGUUGGGACCCUUCUUCAGACUCAAAAACUGGAAAAACUCAAAGACUGAAGAAGUGCUAUUCAAAAAAGCUGGCAUCUUAUGUAAUCGUUGCACCCCACCACUCCUCAAAUCUCAUUCCAUCUAACGAUCCUUUCAGAAUAUGGUUUGUCUUAA